UUUUAUGGAGAGUUUGAUCCUGGCUCAGGACGAACGCUGGCGGCGUGCCUAAUACAUGCAAGUCGAGCGAACAGAGAAGGAGCUUGCUCCUUUGACGUUAGCGGCGGACGGGUGAGUAACACGUGGGCAACCUACCUUAUAGUUUGGGAUAACUCCGGGAAACCGGGGCUAAUACCGAAUAAUCUGUUUCACCUCAUGGUGAAAUGUUGAAAGACGGUUUCGGCUGUCGCUAUAGGAUGGGCCCGCGGCGCAUUAGCUAGUUGGUGAGGUAACGGCUCACCAAGGCGACGAUGCG
rnacentral:rRNA from 1 species